rnacentral:lncRNA from 1 species
GUUAUUGCAGACUCUUUAGAAUAACUUUAUCAGUAACAAAAAUUAGCUACAUGAAUAACGUGCAAUAGUUUUACAUUAUGUAUCAUACUGAAUGAUUGGAUAAGAAAUUUGGCUGACAAGAUAUGCACAUCUCUUAUUACAUGCAAAAAGCAAGUUGCAGAACAUAUAUGCUUAUAUUAUGCCCGUGAACUGGCAAGUUUGGAGGCUGAAAGGAUUGAACUUCACAAAUAAGAGUUCUUUUUACAAACAUUCCAGUUAUCAGAUUUGGACAACACAAGUAGAAGCCUUGUUAAACUCAAUCUCCGUUGUCACUGGCUGCCUGCUCAUGUUCUUGGAGUGUUGCCAACAGGUUCUAUCUCUGAUUCCAUUCUCAAGGGUGAGCAUGUUUUAUCAAACCAGGAAAGAGCCACAACUCUAGCAACUGUGAGCAACAGAAAAGCUAGAAAAAUGGAUAGAAUUCAAAAGCCGAUUGUGCGGGCAGCAAUGACAGCCUACCUACCUUCUACAGCUUUGGAGAAGUUUACUUUUCUUCUCUUGAACUAUCUACCAGUCUGUAUCUGGAGUGCUUUCUGAAGGAAUUGGAUCUAUACCUGCCUGGCCAAAUAGAGCUGUCAAGGAUGGGGUGUGAUCCAAGCGACUAUUAACCCAGUAGCCUGUUUUCCCAGCAUCUUGGCCGUGUGGAAAUAGACUAACGGUUUCUGCUGUCAUACUUGUAGACAGCUGAACAAUGACAUUUAUGGUUACCAGGAAGAUUGUGUCUUGGCCAACAUUCUAAAACUUCACAUUUACUCAUUUUUUGAUUUUUUUUUGCCGAGCAAAGCAGAAACUGACUGCAGGAAAAUCAGGUGUGUUUAGAAGCAAUUGCCUGCUUUGUUACUCAUUAGGGACUUACAUUAGCUUGGAGUAGAUGUCGAUGCAUUCUUUCCUUAACUGAUUAAAGUCUGGAUUUCUCAUCUCCCUAACUCUGGUAUUACCAAAGAGACACUCCUGUCCAGUGCACAGAUAAUUUCAUAUUGACUGCUGUGUUAGAGACUGGCUUGUUUCAGCCAAACUAUAUUCUCUUCUUGAGUGUAAAUUAGAUUCUCAUUUUCAGACUUCCUCAGUAUGGCUACAUGUCGUGUUCUCAACCAAUGAAAUAUGUAUGUGACUUCUGAGUCAAGGGAGUUAAGAAGCAUGCGUAUUUUGUCUACCUGCUUCUUUCUCAUUUGCUACCUGAACGCAGAAGACUCCAAGGUCUUACAGGAGGGACAUGAGGUGGAAGGUGUUUGGGUACCAGAAUGACUCUGUGGAAGGCCAGAGACUGAUCACAUUUACAUUGUAUUGUUAUAUGAAUGAGAAAUAAACUUUUAUUGAGUAACAGC